rnacentral:rRNA from 1 species
UACGAAGGGGGCUAGCGUUGUUCGGAUUUACUGGGCGUAAAGGGCGCGUAGGCGGCAAUUCAAGUCAUCUGUGAAAUCUCCGGGCUUAACUCGGAACGGUCAGGUGAUACUGCUUCGCUAGAGUGCGGAAGGGGCAAUCGGAAUUCUUGGUGUAGCGGUGAAAUGCGUAGAUAUCAAGAGGAACACCUGAGGUGAAGACGGGGUUGCUGGGCCGACACUGACGCUGACAGCGCGAAAGCCAGGGGAGCAAACGGG